rnacentral:rRNA from 1 species
CCCUUAGAUGUUCUGGGCUGCACACGCGCUACACUGAAGGGAUCAGCGUGUUCUUUUCCUGGUCCGAAAGGAUCGGGUAACCCGCUGAACCCCCUUCGUGGUAGGGAUCGGAGCUUGCAAUUAUUCUCCGUGAACCAGGAAUUCCCAGUAAGCGCAAGUCAUAAGCUUGCGUAGAUUACGUCCCUGCCCUUUGUACACACCGCCCGUCGCUACUACCGAUUGGACGUUUUAGUGAGGAUUUUGGACUGAGCCAAUGGUGGUUCACACCACUGUUGUGCAUGGAAAGAUCUCCAAACUUGAGCGUUUAGAGGAAGUAAAAGUCGUANCA